UGCGCCGGGAACGGGGAGCAGCCGGGGGGCUUGGGGCUGGCUGGGUGGGUGGGUUUUGCUGCCUUCGCCCCCCCUUGGUUUUCAGCCCUGCUAGGCGAGCUCCCCUAGCCAGCCGCGUUACUCGGCGCGGGGAGGGAAGGGAACAGUGUGGAAAGUGGCUGUUCUCCGCUUUGUUUUAAGCGCUCCGGCGGCGGCGUCUCCCGGGCGGUGAAACGCAGAACGAGCGGCCCCGCCGUGCUGUUUCCUCCUCGGGGAGAGCUUGAAACGAGAGGGAGAGAGAGAGAGAGCGAGAGGGGAGAGCGAUCGGUGGUGACUCGGGGGCUGGCCGGGCUGCUGCUGGGGCUCGGCGGCCGCAGACGGUGGAUUUGUGGGAAGAGGACGGGAUGAGGAAUAAACGCACCUGGCCGGCGGUGUUUAGGGGAGCGGGGGCCGGGUGCCCCCGCUGGCUGCCGGAGCCCCUGGACUCCGGACGCGGACCGCCGAGCUGCAAUGGACGCUGCCCGCCGCUGGCCGCAGAGCGGAGCACACCCGCCGCCGCCGAGGAGCGAGAGCUGCCCGCCCGGAGCCGGCCCGCAGCGCGCCCCUCGCCCGAAGAGGGAGCGGGAGUUUCCUCCCCGGCAUCGCUCCGGUGACCGCGGGCUGUGCCAGCCGGCCGCCCAGAUAGGCUGCGAGGCAGCCACGGCGCGAGCGACUAGAACUCCUUGGAUGCGUCGGAAGUAAGCGCUGGGAGCAUUUUGUGAUCUUUGUGGGAGGAAGGCACAAGCCACCCAGGCCCCGUUCCCUCCAUCUUGAGCCUUCUGUGGUGAUUUGCAGCAGCAGCACAGGGAAGUAUGAAGCACUGAGGGGCAGAAGUCAGUAUUUAAACCUGACUUCACUUCAGCAUUAACGACCACGCAAGUUUCACAUAACAGGAGGACCAGGGGUAGAAUAGCAGAAGUACUUAAGGUGCCUCAUUUAAAAGUUCUCUUCUGCAUUUCUGAAGAUUAGGGAGCUGUUCAGAAAAGAUGAUUAUACAAGUGUUUUUAUUUACUGUCCUAACAGAAGAUGAUGAUCCACAUUACCUUACAUGCAUCCUGUACCACCAUAUAGAUUUCAGGGGACCUGUAUGGAUGUAAGUUAGUAAAGAAACCCAGUGAAGUUUUAAAUAAUCAGAAUAAUAUUCUCCCUCUCUUUCAGUCAGAUUUGCCCUUCAUGUUACUUGUGUUUCAUAAUCCUCCUAGCUCUCCAUUUCGUCAUUACAAGACCAGCAUCUCUACUGUAGAAAAAAAAAAAAAAAAACAAAAAAAACAGAAAGAGAGAGGAUUGAUCACCUCCCCCCCCACCCCCCAGAAAAAAAAAGUCUUUUUACAAACUGCUUUUUAUAUCAAUGUUUAAAUCAAUUUAGGGCACAAAGUGAUCCUGGUUUUUAAUAGGCCUUUUUAGUUUCGUUUACUUACACAGGUAUUUUUUUGGAACCAGAAGCUCUCAGAAAGAGAAUGUGUUCGAUGCACCAAUACCUUUUAGGGUUUUGAUAAAAGACAUGAUAUCAUGAGUAUCAUCACCACUUCUGUUAUUCUUCUUGUAUAGUAGCGACGAGAUUGAAUCACCAUUUUUAGCUAUUCUUCAGCAGAACUCGUAAUCUAUCAAUGUGUCAGCUCAACAGCAGUUUUCUCUUCACACUAAUGUGAACCAGAGGGUCCAGCUAUCACUGAUUUUGACAUUUUUAUCUGAGAUUGCAUGUAUUGCAGAAGUUUGAAGCAGAUGAAUUAUAGGGCCAAUUACAUUUUCAUAAAGAUGUACAAAACAUAGAAUACGUCACCUAAAACAUUUCAAACUAAUUUAUACCGGACAACAGUCCUAUGCUUGGUGUUUCAUAAGCUUUCUGCUGGAAGCACUAUUAAAUAUUUGUCUGAUAAAUAACAAGAAU